rnacentral:rRNA from 1 species
CCUACGGGUGGCUGCAGUAGGGAAUCUUCCGCAAUGGACGAAAGUCUGACGGAGCAACGCCGCGUGAGCGAAGAAGGUCUUCGGAUCGUAAAGCUCUGUUGUUAGGGAAGAACAAGUACCGGAGUAACUGACGGUACCUUGACGGUACCUAACCAGAAAGCCACGGCUAACUACGCGCCAGCAGCCGCGGUAAUACGUAGGUGGCAAGCGUUGUCCGGAAUCAUUGGGCGUAAAGCGCGCGCAGGCGGUCCUUUAAGUCUGAUGUGAAAUCUUGCGGCUCAACCGUAAGGGGUCAUUGGAAACUGGGGGGAUUUGGUGCAAGAGGAGAAAGCGGAAAUCCAUGGGGAGCGGUGAAAUGCGUAGGGAUAUGGAGGAACACCAGUGGCGAAGGGGGCUUUCCGGCCUGUAACCGACGCUGAGGCGCGAAAGCGUGGGGAGCAAACAGGAUUAGAUACCCUUGUAGUC